rnacentral:rRNA from 1 species
CUGGCUCAGGAUGAACGCUGGCGGCGUGCUUAACACAUGCAAGUCGAACGGAGUUUUAACGGAAGUUUCGGAUGGAAGUUUAGAAACUUAGUGGCGGACGGGUGAGUAACGCGUGGGUAACCUGCCUCAGUACAGGGGGAUAACAGUUAGAAAUGACUGCUAACACCGCAUAAUAUAGCGAAACCGCAUGAUUUUUGCUAUCAAAUAUUUAUAGGUAUGAGAUGGGCCCGCGUCUGAUUAGCUAGUUGGUGGGGUAAAAGCCUACCAAGGCGACGAUCAGUAGCCGGCUUGAGAGAGUGACCGGCCACAUUGGGACUGAGACACGGCCCAAACUCCUACGGGAGGCAGCAGUGGGGAAUAUUGGACAAUGGGGGAAACCCUGAUCCAGCGACGCCCGCGUGAGUGAAGAAGUAUUUCGGUAUGUAAAGCUCUAUCAGCAGGGAAGAUAAUGACAGUACCUGACUAAGAAGCCCCGGCUAACCACGUGCCAGCAGCUGC